rnacentral:rRNA from 1 species
AGUUCGAUUAUGGCUCAGAUUGAACAUGGCGGGAUGCUUUACACAUGCAAGUCGAACGGCAGCACGGACUUCGGUCUGGUGGCGAGCGGCGAACAGGUGAGUAAUGUAUCCCGGAACGUGCCUAGUAGCGGGGAUAACCGCGAAAGCGUAGCUAAUGCAUACGCCCUUCGGGGAAAGCGGGGGACCUUCGGGCCUCGCACUAUUAGAGCGGCCGAUAUCGGAUUAGCUAGUUGGUGGGGUAACGGCUCACCAAGGCGACGAUCCGUAGCUGGUUUGAGAGGACGACCAGCCACACACUGGGACUGAGACACGGCCAGACUCCUACGGGAGGCAGCAGUGGGGAAUUUUGGACAAUGGGGGAAACCCUGAUCCAGCCAUCACGUGUGCGGUAAUUUCAGGUUGUAAAGCACUUUGGCGGAAGAAGACAUGGAUGAAAAUACUACCGACACGCUUUGACAAUCAGUAUACAGAAUAAAGAGCAGCUAACCUGCAGUAUAAGCAGUAUGAUGCGUGCGAAGGCCUAAACAGUAUCGGACAUGUGAGGAAGCGCUGGCAUGCUGGGCGACUGGGCGAAAAUCUUUGAAAUCCCAGAGCUUAACUGGAACUGCAUUUUUAACUACCGAGCUAGAGUGUCAGAGGGAGGUGGAGAUUCCGUGUAGCAGUGAAAUGCGUAGAUAUGCGAAGACACCGAUGGCGAAGGCAGCCUCCUGGGAUAACACUGACGCUCAUGCGAAAGCGUGGGGAGCAAACAGGAUUAGAUACCCUGGUAGUCCGCCUAAACGAUGUCAACUAGCUGUUGGGGCCUUCGGGCCUUGGUAAGAAGCAGCUAACGCGUGGUUGACCGCCUGGGGAGUACGGUCGCAAGAUUAAAACUCAAAGGAAUUGACGGGGACCCGCACAAGCGGUGGAUGAUGCUGGAUUAAUUCGAUGCAACGCGAAAAACCUUACCUACCCUUGACAUGUCUGGAAUCCCGAAGAAGACGGGAGUGCUCGCAAGAGAACCGGAACACAGGUGCUGUAUGGCUGUCGUCAGCUCGUAUCGUGAGAUGUUGGGUUAAGUCCACAACGAGCGCAACCCUUGUCAUUAGUUGCUACGAAAGGGCACUCUAAUGAGACUGCCGGUGACAAACCGGAGGAAGGUGGGGAUGACGUCAAGUCCUCUGGCCCUUAUGGGUAGGGCUUCACACGUCAUACAAUGGUCGGGACAGAGGGUCGCCAACCCGCGAGGGGGAGCCAAUCCCAGAAACCCGAUCGUAGUCCGGAUCGCAGUCUGCAACUCGACUGCGUGAUCCGGAAUCGCUAGUAAUCGCGGAUCAGCAUGUCGCGAAGUGAAUACGUUCCCGGGUCUUGUACACACCGCCCGUCACACCAUGGGAGUGGGUUUUACCAGAAGUAGUUAGCCUAACCGUAAGGAGGGCAAAUUACCACGGUAGGAUUCAUGACUGGGGUGAAGUCGUAACAAGGUAG